CCUACAGGCAAAAAUCCACAUUCCUUCCAAGCAGAACUGGCAACCCUUCGGGAUCCCUGACCAACCCCCAUGCAACGCAGCCUUGUCCACAACUCUGCUGUUUUCUCCGCAGGAGGAUGGAGAAGGGCUUGCCUCCCAGCUGAGGGUAUCCUGGAGGGCUUUGGGAGGAGCUGACAGUGGAGCUACGUGUUGAAGGCCCACCCUCACCUUACAGCACCCCCAGCCUGCAGAGUCAGAGACAAGAAAGCAGAACAAGGCGGUUCCUCCUCCUUCCUCCCCACACACCCACGCCUGCCACCUGGCCAAGGAGACGCCUCUCAAAGACACUGGUGCCUUGGAUGUGCAAAGAGGAACUGCCUGUGAGUGCGAAGAUCUUGCAGCCCCAGACUUCUCUCAAUGAGGCUGAGCUGGAUCAGGAUGACACUGAUGCUGCUGGUCGGGGGACCACACCUCGAGACCCACUGACACUAUCUUGGAUCCUCCUACAAGCCCAAGAGGUGCCUGUUUGGGUCAUCCCAUUGUACAGGUGAAGAGGCUAAGGACUGGAGGGGAGGGGCCUUGCUCAGGGCCCAGGAAGCCAGAGAACAAACAUCCGGAGUCUCUGGAAUCUCUCCUACUUUCCUUCCUCACAUCCCGAGGAUCUGGGAGCCAGCAUGAGCAUGCACACAGCGUGCGCACACACACACACACACACGCACACACUGGGCUGGGUAAAUAUGUCAGCCUGGGAUAUCUUGUGGGACUGUUGUGAAUCUGUGGGUGCCUUAGAACCCCAAAGCCUUGAAAAGAUGAUGAUGCCCUCCCACCAGACCCUCGGACCCUCUAUACAAUUCAAACUAAAUUUUAUC
rnacentral:lncRNA from 1 species